rnacentral:lncRNA from 1 species
UCAAAUAAACAGCCAGAGAUGGCACACUGUAUCUAAUAUCUCCACUUAUCUAAAAUCUAUCCAUCUUUUAAGACCUACUCCAAAAAGCAUGAAUUUUCUAUAAUCCAAAAUCCACCACAUAAUCUUCCCAGUUCCUCUCUAUCCCCCUGCCUGCCCAGACAAGAAUAAUUUCUCUUUCUUGGAGAACUCUGGGCUCAGCGUGAAAAAAGGGGCUCUGAGGAUAGCAGAUAUAUUACUGACGUGGUUAACUGAGGACUUUUUAAAUUCCUCUGGUUUCUCCAUAGACCUGCAAGGGUGGGGCAGCUGACUGCACUUA